rnacentral:rRNA from 1 species
GGAUACCCGAGGGAAACUUCGGUUAAUACGGUAUAAGACCACACUACCGCAUGGUAGAGGGGUAAAAGGGGCAACCUGGUAUGAGAUGGACUCGCGUCGCAUUAGCUAGUUGGUGAGGUAACGGCCCACCAAGGCGACGAUGCGUAGCCGACCUGAGAGGGUGAUCGGCCACAUUGGGACUGAGAUACGGCCCAGACUCCUACGGGAGGCAGCAGUGGGGAAUAUUGGGCAAUGGAGGAAACUCUGACCCAGCAAUGCCGCGUGAAUGAAGAAGGUCUUCGGAUUGUAAAGUUCUUUAGUCAGGGAAGAAGUCAAUGACGGUACCUGAAGAAUAAGCUCCGGCUAACUACGUGCCAGCAGCCGCGGUAAUACGUAGGGAGCAAGCGUUGUUCGGAAUGACUGGGCGUAAAGGGUGCGUAGGCGGUUGUACAAGUUAGAAGUGAAAUACCCAGGGCUUAACUCGGGUGCUGCUUCUAAAACUGUAUGACUUGAGUGCAGUAGAGGUUAGUGGAAUUCCUAGUGUAGCGGUGGAAUGCGUAGAUAUUAGGAGGAACACCAGAGGCGAAGGCGGCUAACUGGACUGCAACUGACGCUGAGGCACGAAAGUGUGGGGAGCAAACAGGAUUAGAUACCCUGGUAGUCCACACUGUAAACGAUGGAUAAUAGAUGUAGGAGGUAUCGACUCCUUCUGCGUCGCA